UACGAAGGGGGCUAGCGUUGCUCGGAAUCACUGGGCGUAAAGGGUGCGUAGGCGGGUCUUUAAGUCAGGGGUGAAAUCCUGGAGCUCAACUCCAGAACUGCCUUUGAUACUGAAGAUCUUGAGUUCGGGAGAGGUGAGUGGAACUGCGAGUGUAGAGGUGAAAUUCGUAGAUAUUCGCAAGAACACCAGUGGCGAAGGCGGCUCACUGGCCCGAUACUGACGCUGAUGCACGAAAGCGUGGGGAGCAAACAGG
rnacentral:rRNA from 1 species